rnacentral:rRNA from 1 species
UACAGAGGUCCCAAGCGUUGUUCGGAUUCACUGGGCGUAAAGGGUGCGUAGGUGGCUGGGCAAGUUUGAUGUGAAAUCUCCGGGCUUAACCCGGAAAAUGCAUUGAAUACUGCUUAGCUGGAGGUUUGGAGGGGGGACUGGAAUUCUCGGUGUAGCAGUGAAAUGCGUAGAUAUCGAGAGGAACACCAGUGGCGAAGGCGGGUCCCUGGACAACACCUGACACUGAGGCACGAAAGCUAGGGGAGCAAACAGG